rnacentral:rRNA from 1 species
UCCUACGGGAGGCAGCAGUGGGGAAUAUUGCACAAUGGGGGAAACCCUGAUGCAGCGACGCCGCGUGAGUGAAGAAGUAUUUCGGUAUGUAAAGCUCUAUCAGCAGGGAAGAAAAUGACGGUACCUGACUAAGAAGCCCCGGCUAACUACGUGCCAGCAGCCGCGGUAA